UGAGGCAUGUCUGAGCUUCCAUCCCAUCAUGGCCAGGAACUCAGCUUCCAAGGUCUCUCUGUGGUCCCCCUGGCCAAGACGGGGUCCGUUCAAUUGCUUGGGGAGCUGAGAU